rnacentral:lncRNA from 1 species
GGAUCACCAGAGAGACCCUCCUUCCCUUCCUUACCCAGUGUUCACCCCACCACCCUGCUGGCACUGGCCCCGGGCACCACACUACCAGCUAGCACCCAAAGAGCCAGUGGGCUGCUCCUCAUCCACCCCUGGAAAGCCAACCUGAAAAACCCCCGUUUCUUUCUCCGUGGAAAUUCCUCUGCCUUUGGACUGCUAGCAGGUGGGGUCAGACAUUGCCAUGUACGUUCAGAAGAGUGGAGCUGUCAUGUCCCCCUUCUGAAUGUCCACUGCAGGGCUGACGGCGAGGGCCUCGUGCUUCGACACAGGCAGAGGGGCACGUCUGCAGUGUCUGUGCACUGGGAGAACGUGUUUCAAACUGCCACGAGACACGAGUCUUUUCUCAAAUUUAGGAAAAUACGAGAGGCAGACGGCUCACUCGGAGCAUUAAGAUACACCUUCGUCUUACGGCAAGCCUGUACAACAGACCUAUGGCUCGGGAGACUGAUGAGACUGGUGGCAAUGAAGCUGAAGAUGGACAGAACAUGUUCCGUCAAGACGAACCACCCCUCUGAGGGAACAGCCUUUAGCUCAGCACCAACAUACCUCCCGAACAACAGUUCAGGUUGCCCAUCGUCAACGACUCGAGCAGCGAAGGGGAGAGCCUCCCAGCUGUGGCCCAACGCUCUCCUCUCUACGCUCACACUGGCAGUUGGGUCACAAGGCUCUCUGGGCAUCAUUCCAUUGCCGUGGCAACUGGUCGAGGCCUGGAACUUUCAGACAGGGGAGGCAACUCUGCCCCCUCUGGGCCCACCUGCUCUACAUAGCCCACUGGCCGUUUCCCUGGACAGGGUCCAUGUUUUCUUUCAAACACUGCAUCCUAAAGUCAAACAGUGGAGUUCCCGUCGUGGCGCAGUGGUUAACGAAUCCGACUAGGAACCAUGAAGUUGCGGGUUCGAUCCCUGGCCUCGCUCAGUGGGUUAAGGGUCCGGCGUUGCCGUGAGCUGUGGUGUAGGCUGCAGACGCGGCUCGGAUCCCGUGUGCUGUGGCUCUGGCGUAGGCCAGAGGCUACAGCUCCGAUUCAACCCCUGGCCUGGGAACCUCCACAUGCCGCGGGAACAGCCCAAGAAUUACCAAAAAAGACAAAAAAUAAAAAAAUAAAAAUCAAACUUCA